UGGGGAAUAUUGGACAAUGGGGGCAACCCUGAUCCAGCAAUGCCGCGUGAGUGAUGAAGGCCUUCGGGUUGUAAAGCUCUUUUGGCGGGGACGAUGAUGACGGUACCCGCAGAAUAAGCCCCGGCUAACUUCGUGCCAGCAGCCGCGGUAAUACGAAGGGGGCAAGCGUUGUUCGGAAUUACUGGGCGUAAAGGGCGCGUAGGCGGCUUACCAAGUCAGGCGUGAAAUUCCCGGGCUCAACCUGGGGGCUGCGCUUGAUACUGGUGAGCUUGAAUGCGGGAGAGGAUAGUGGAAUUCCCAGUGUAGAGGUGAAAUUCGUAGAUAUUGGGAAGAACACCAGUGGCGAAGGCGACUCACUGGACGAUUGUUGACGCUGAGGUGCGAAAGCGUGGGGAGCAAA
rnacentral:rRNA from 1 species